rnacentral:rRNA from 1 species
AACGCGAAGAACCUUACCUGGGCUUGACAUCCGGGGGACCCUCCUGAAAGGGAGGGGUGCACUUCGGUGAACCCCGAGACAGGUGCUGCAUGGCUGUCGUCAGCUCGUGCCGUGAGGUGUUGGGUUAAGUCCCGCAACGAGUGCAACCCCUGUCCAUAGUUGCCAUCGGGUAAAGCCGGGCACUCUAUGGAGACUGCUGUGGUCAACACAGAGGAAGGUGGGGACGACGUCAAGUCAUCAUGGCCCUUACGCCCAGGGCUACACACGUACUACAAUGGCGCGUACAAAGGGCAGCGAGACCGCGAGGUGGAGCCAAUCCCAAAAAACGCGUCCCAGUCCGGAUUGCAGUCUGCAACUCGACUGCAUGAAGUUGGAAUCGCUAGUAAUCCUGGAUCAGCAUGCCAGGGUGAAUGCGUUCCCGGGUCUUGUACACACCG